rnacentral:rRNA from 1 species
CAAGUCGAACGAAUCCCGGAAUUGUAGCAAUACAAGACCGGGGGAAGUGGCGAAAGGGGCAGUAAUGUUUGGGUAACCUACCCUGAGGUCGCGGAUAGCCUUUCUAACGAUUGGGUAAUACGCGGCGUUGUAUCGGAGCGGCAUCGCUCUGCUACUAAAGAAUUUCGCCUCGGGAGGGGCCCAAAUGAUAUUAGCUAGUUGGUGAGGUAACGGCUCACCAAGGCAAAGAUGUCUAGCGGGUGUGAGAGCACGACCCGCGCCACUGGCACUGAGACACUGGCCAGACUCCUACGGGAGGCUGCAGUCGAGGAUCUUCGGCAAUGGGCGAAAGCCUGACCGAGCGACGCCGCGUGUGCGAUGAAGGCCUUCGGGUUGUAAAGCACCUGUCGAGGGGGAGGAAGCCGCAAGGUUGACCUAUCCCUGGAGGAAGCACGGGCUAAGUUCGUGCCAGCAGCCGCGGUAAGACGAACCGUGCAAACGUUAUUCGGAAUCACUGGGCUUAAAGGGCGCGUAGGCGGGCAACCAAGUCCGAGGUGAAAUCCUCCAGCUUAACUGGAGAAGUGCCCCGGAUACUGGUGGCCUCGAGGAGGGUAGGGGCAUCUGGAACUAGCGGUGGAGCGGUGAAAUGCGUUGAUAUCGCUAGGAACUCCGGUGGCGAAGGCGAGGUGCUGGACCCUUUCUGACGCUUAGGCGCGAAAGCCAGGGGAGCGAACGGGAUUAGAUACCCCGGUAGUCCUGGCCCUAAACGAUGAGAACUAGAUUGCGGACUUGAUAUGAGUGCGCUGUCGGAGCAAAAGUGCUAAGUU